rnacentral:rRNA from 1 species
CCAGACUCCUACGGGAGGCAGCAGUGGGGGAUAUUGCACAAUGGGGGGAACCCUGAUGCAGCGACGCCGCGUGGGUGAAGGAGCGUUUCGGCGCGUAAAGCCCUAUCGGCAGGGAAGAAGGAGGACGGUACCUGACUAAGAAGCCCCGGCUAACUACGUGCCAGCAGCCGCGGUAAUACGUAGGGGGCAAGCGUUAUCCGGAUUCACUGGGUGUAAAGGGAGCGUAGACGGCGACGCAAGUCUGGAGUGAAAGCCCGGGGCCCAACCCCGGGACUGCUCUGGAAACUGCGUCGCUGGAGUGCGGGAGGGGCAGGCGGAAUUCCUGGUGUAGCGGUGAAAUGCGUAGAUAUCAGGAGGAACACCGGCGGCGAAGGCGGCCUGCUGGACCGUGACUGACGUUGAGGCUCGAGAGCGUGGGGAGCAAACAGGAUUAGAUACCCCUGUA